rnacentral:lncRNA from 1 species
GACGAGUGGGAAAUGAAACACAGAUGGGUCAGAUGGGUAAGGAGAGGGGGAUUACAGGUCAGGCCAAAGAGUUGGAAUAAAUUAAGUGCUUAUGAGGUACAGAAUGGCACAUUGUUUAAGUGAAUGGACAGGGAAAAAACAUUCCAGCAUUGUUCAUCCGCCGAGGGAGCCCAACGCUCCUCUUCCCAGACGAGCCCAGGCCACAGAGCGCCUCCUCCUCGCCAGGAUGUUUGUGACCCACAGACUGAAAACGCGGCCAGGCGGUGCCCGAAACAUUCUCCCAGCCUCCAAAGAGGCCAGUUUGGCUUUAUUACACGGGAGAUGUAAUUUAUUGGGAGAAAUGUUUGGGUUCGUGUGUCGGAUGGUGGAGAGUCAGAUUUGGAGUUCCCUGGGGAUCUCCGAGGAGAAGAAGCAGAUGUUCACAAAGCAACUGACCAGGCCAGGUGUGUCCUUCAAGGCUACCUGCAUUCAACAGAGGCGACCACAGCCCAGACCCAUCCUUCUUGGGAGAGUUUCAAGAUGCUCCACAUAGUGGUGCCUAGCGCUCUGUGCACUCAGAGGCUAGAAGAAAAGAUACAGAGGUCCUCUUUCAAGGAGAGGCCCUGACGUUUCUAUUCUUACAAGGAUUCUUUGGUAAUAAAUACAGUGAAAACACCGUCACCGUGGAGAUAAUACUUAAUGCUCAAGAGGUACGUAGCAGAGAUUGCAUUCCAAUCAAGGACUUCCGUAACCCUGUCUACCAAGCCAGUAUCACCUGUAGGCCAGUUCACCUCCAUCCAGUCACUUUACAGCACUUGAGUGUUUGCUGUCCGCUCAAUUAAAAUCCUACUCUGGUGGGAAAAACCAGAUUUCCAAAUGGGGACUUUAUUGAUUCAAUAAAAUUUAAGAAAUUCUGCUUAUGGAAAAACUCAUUAACCCAAACUAAUAAAUACGAGUUUACCCUG